rnacentral:rRNA from 1 species
CAGUCGCCGCGGUAAUACAGAGGGUGCAAGCGUUAAUCGGAUUUACUGGGCGUAAAGCGUGUGUAGGUGGCUGUUCAAGUCGGUUGUGAAAGCCCUGGGCUCAACCUGGGAAUUGCUUCCGAGACUGAGCGGCUAGAGUACGGUAGAGGGCGGUGGAAUUUCCGGUGUAGCGGUGAAAUGCGUAGAUAUCGGAAGGAACACCAAUGGCGAAGGCAGCCGCCUGGGCCUGUACUGACACUGAGACACGAAAGCGUGGGGAUCAAACAGGAUUAGAGACCCGUGUAGUCCCUGUCUCUUAUAC